rnacentral:rRNA from 1 species
AGCGGCGGACGGGUGAGUAACGCGUGGGAACGUACCCUUUUCUGCGGAAUAGCCUCGGGAAACUGAGAGUAAUACCGCAUACGCCCUUUUGGGGAAAGAUUUAUCGGAGAAGGAUCGGCCCGCGUUGGAUUAGGUAGUUGGUGGGGUAAUGGCCUACCAAGCCGACGAUCCAUAGCUGGUUUGAGAGGAUGAUCAGCCACACUGGGACUGAGACACGGCCCAGACUCCUACGGGAGGCAGCAGUGGGGAAUCUUAGACAAUGGGGGCAACCCUGAUCUAGCCAUGCCGCGUGAGUGAUGAAGGCCUUAGGGUUGUAAAGCUCUUUCAGCUGGGAAGAUAAUGACGGUACCAGCAGAAGAAGCCCCGGCUAACUCCGUGCCAGCAGCCGCGGUAAUACGGAGGGGGCUAGCGUUGUUCGGAAUUACUGGGCGUAAAGCGCACGUAGGCGGACCAGAAAGUUGGGGGUGAAAUCCCGGGGCUCAACCUCGGAACUGCCUUCAAAACUAUUGGUCUGGAGUUCGAGAGAGGUGAGUGGAAUUCCGAGUGUAGAGGUGAAAUUCGUAGAUAUUCGGAGGAACACCAGUGGCGAAGGCGGCUCACUGGCUCGAUACUGA